UAACUUUACUCAUAAAUAAAUACACUGUCCAACAGCAAAAAUAGAACAAAAACAGUAAAUGUCCAAUUUAAUAGAUUUUGAUCUAAUCAGGGCUGAGAGAUACAAUCAAAGAGACAUGACAGGAAAGAGAAAGAAAAAAACAGAGAAGAAGAAAUGAGAGAGAAAAAAAGAAAGAUGAUUUGCUCCAAGGACUCCCUAGACCUUCCAAAAAGAAACAAAAAAAAAAGAGAAAAACAUUGAUAACCUGGACGCCUGGCCACCUGGAGAGUGUACAAUUAAACAAUAAAUACUCCUGAGGAGUCCGUGAGCUCGAUUUUGUUGGUGAAUUACAUGGAAUACAGAAAGUUAAUUCUUCAUCGAUUAUGAUCAAUGAUGUGAAUAAUCAGCAUAAUUUUAGCUGAAUUUUGAUGUUCAUAAUUCUUAUUAUAUAUAAAAUAUAAUUUUAACACAUAUCAAUGAAUAUCUAAAUAACAGAAAAAUUAUAUCAUAAUUUUUUUGCUAUCUUACAUAUUUAUUUUCUCAAUUGAAGUAUUUUUGGAUAUUACACUAUCUUGAAUGUCAACCACAAAUACAAUAAAAUUCUUUCUUCAACUGUGAAGUCAACAUAAGCACCAUAUAAUUUAAUUUUUGUAAGGCAUAUUUAGAAAUUAUAUCAACGUAAACGUAAAUCCAAGUUCCAAUGAACUCAAUGAAAUUAGAAAAUUAAGCUGGAUUAAUUAACAGUAAA
rnacentral:lncRNA from 1 species